rnacentral:snRNA from 1 species
AAGAGUACUCGCUUGGCGGUAAAAUAUGAAAUUAUUCAGAGAAAAUUAGCAUGACCCCUAAGCAAGGAUGAUACGCCACAUUGAAAGGCAUUCUUCAGUUUU